CUCAUUUUCAUGGUUCAGUGGUUAUAGUUAAGUUUUUGUGUUUUGGUCUGUUUUUCUCAUACUUUAUGCAAUAGAUCUACUAUAUUUGUUGUAUGGAAUGAUUGUAAGGUGUACAUGUCUAGCGAGCAGAUGUCAUCUGACCUGGACCUCAUUUUCAUGGUUGAGUGGUCAAAGUUAAGUUUUUGAGUUUUGGUCUUUUUAUCUAAUACUAUAUGCCAUAGGUCAACUAUAUUUGGUGUAUGGAAAUAUUUUAUGAUCUAUAUGUCAGUCGCGCAGGUUUUAUUUGACCUCGACCUCAUUUUCACGGUUCAUUGCUCAGUGUUAAGUUCUUGUGUUUUGGUCUAUUUUUUUAAAACUAUAAGUAAUAGGUCAACUAUAUUUGUUGUAUGGAAGCAUUGUUAGCUGUACAUGUCUGCCUGGCAUGGUUCAUCUGACCUUGACCUCAUUUUCAUGGUUCAUUGCUCUUUGUUUAGUUAUCUUGGUUAAUGUUAAGUUUAUGUGACAGUUUUUAAUAAAGCUUUAUACUUAGGACUAUCAACAUAAUAUCAAUGAUAAGUAAAGAAGGCGAGACAUUUCAGUGUGUGCACUCUUGUGAAUUUACGAAUUAUGUUAAUCAUGUAAAUAAUGUUAUGUUUUUUGUUUUUUGCUUUUUGAAGUUUUUAAAAUUGACAAAUAAUGCUAGCAGGGGAGAUUAUUCAUUAAUAUUUUUAUGAUGCC
rnacentral:lncRNA from 1 species